AAGGAGUCUAACAUAUAUGCGAGUAUUUGGGUGUCAAACCCGAGUGCGCAAUGAAAGUGAACGUAGGAGCCACGCGCAAGCUGCAGCUUCGACCGAUCUGGAUCUUUAGUGAUGGGUUUGAGUAAGAGCAUAUAUGUUGGGACCCGAAAGAUGGUGAACUAUGCCUGAAUAGGGCGAAGCCAGAGGAAACUCUGGUGGAGGCUCGUAGCGGUUCUGACGUGCAAAUCGACCGUUAAAUUUGGGUAUAGGGGCGAAAGACUAAUCGAACCAUCUAGUAGCUGGUUCCUGC
rnacentral:misc_RNA from 1 species